rnacentral:rRNA from 1 species
CUGGCGGCGUGCUUAACACAUGCAAGUCGAGCGAGAAAGCACCUCGGGUGUGAGUACAGCGGCGAACGGGUGAGUAACACGUGGGCAACCUGCCCUAGAGACUGGGAUAACGUCCCGAAAGGGACGCUAAUACCGGAUGAUGCGUGACCUGCCAAGUAGGUCACGCCAAAUGGUAGCUUCGGCCUCUGCUCUGGGAUGGGCCCGCGCCGGAUUAGCUUGUUGGUGAGGUAAUGGCUCACCAAGGCGACGAUCCGUAGCUGGUCUGAGAGGACGAUCAGCCACACUGGGACUGAGACACGGCCCAGACUCCUACGGGAGGCAGCAGUGGGGAAUCUUGCGCAAUGGGCGAAAGCCUGACGCAGCAACGCCGCGUGAGCCGAAGACGGCCUUCGGGUUGUAAAGCUCUGUCAGGAGGGACGAAGCCACUCAGGUGAAUAGCCGAGAGGGUGACGGUACCUCCAGAGGAAGCCCCGGCUAACUACGUGCCAGCCGCCGC